rnacentral:rRNA from 1 species
CCUACGGAGGCAGCAGUGGGGAAUUUUGGACAAUGGGCGCAAGCCUGAUCCAGCCAUGCCGCGUGUGGGAAGAAGGCCUUCGGGUUGUAAACCACUUUUGUCAGGGAAGAAACGGCCUUUUCUAAUACAGGGGGGCUAAUGACGGUACCUGAAGAAUAAGCACCGGCUAACUACGUGCCAGCAGCCGCGGUAAUACGUAGGGUGCAAGCGUUAAUCGGAAUUACUGGGCGUAAAGCGUGCGCAGGCGGCUUUGCAAGACAGAUGUGAAAUCCCCGGGCUCAACCUGGGAACUGCAUUUGUGACUGCAUGGCUAGAGUACGGUAGAGGGGGGAUGGAAUUCCGCGUGUAGCAGUGAAAUGCGUAGAUAUGCGGAGGAACACCGAUGGCGAAGGCAAUCCCCUGGACCUGUACUGACGCUCAUGCACGAAAGCGUGGGGAGCAAACAGGAUUAGAUACCCUGGUAGUCCACGCCCUAAACGAUGUCAACUGGUUGUUGGACGGCUUGCUGUUCAGUAACGAAGCUAACGCGUGAAGUUGACCGCCUGGGGGNGGUAACGGUCCGCGAGUUAGUAAGUUAAAGUUAGUAGUUGAGGNGNGAGAGNGCGAGACGACGACGAGGGAGGAGG